ensembl:snRNA U6 U6 spliceosomal RNA
GUGCUUGCUUUGGCAACACAUAUACUAAAAUUGGAAGGAUACAGAGAAGAUCAGCAUGGCCCUAGUGCAAGGAUGAGAAGCCCUGAUGGCACAAUGGUUUA